rnacentral:sRNA from 1 species
UAUUCUGCCCAGACGGGAAGGAUGAGAAGCUUCGACUAAGGUUCGAUUCGAGCGUUAGCGAGAAAGCGUUGCCGCAGGCAACGACCCGAAGGGCGAGGCGCACCGCGCUGAGUAAUCCUUCCCCCACCACCA